CUGGACUCUUUCUCCCCUACUGAGACUCAGCUGGUAGGUCUGCAGGCCAGUCCUCCCAGGAGUUGAAGUGUGAAUGAGUGUGAGGAGGAGUCAGUAAGCUUCGGAAGGGUCGGGUGAUGUGGUCCCUGGCUUACAGGGAGAAGGGUUUCAAGUUCAUGGUCCUCCUCUUGUGGGGGCGCCGCCAUGGGCCCUAUUGUGGGGAGUGUCAGAAUGAGGGAGGAAGGAAGGCUGCAGACAGGGGAUGUGCGGUCAGGUGAACAUGGGGUGAGUGCUGGGGGUGCUGUUGUGGGUAUCUGAGUGCCAGAAGGGCCUGGAACCCCCGACAGAGGACAGAUUCCACAUUCCUCGGUGGGGACCCACGAAAGGGUGGUGUGGGCAACACUCACACAUGCACACACACAAACACACACACACGAACAUGUGUGCAUGCACACACACACACCCCUUGUCCCAGGAGCCCAGUGUGCCAGAGCCUCAACAAGAAGAACCACCAGCUGAAAGUUGGGAUCCUACACCUGGUCAGAAGAGAGAAGAAGAUCAGGGUGCGGCUGAGAUUCAAG
rnacentral:sRNA from 1 species